GGCGGGGGCUCCGCCCAGGGAGCGCAGAGCCGGGCGGGCGCUGCCCUGACAAGGAGCCCCCAGAGCCAGCUUCGCCGGGGGGUGCUCUCAGCCUCGCACCGCUUCAGUGAGAGGCCGCCCCGGUCUGGCUGUGCAUGCUGAGUCCAGUUAAAGCAGCCGGCUGAACGGCCUGGUCCUGCAGCAGGCUGGGAGCGAGCGCUCGGCUCUGAGGGUGGAAGAGUGAGUGAGAUGCGGGCAAAGCUGUAUUUAAUCUCUAAGGAGGGAGGAGACGGCGCCAUGGCAGGGUCACCAGGCAGAGCAGUGCUUGUCCAACUGGAAUAGAGUCACUCAAUGGAAAGGACUGGAAGCCGAAGGACCAGAUCUGGAGAGCCAUGUAGAUCCCACUGAAACCAGCACCUUUGAUGUUUAAAUGCCUCAAUGGUGUGGAAAUGAAACCUGCGUGGGUGCACACUCACUGAAAGAAGAGAAAGGCAAAAGUCUUCUGGAAAGUAAGGAUCAGAUGAUCAAGAGAGAAGGACAAGAGAUGGAAGAAGGUGAAAAUACUCACAAAUAAUACCGAUAUACUUGUUUUUCCAGAGACUGAUGCCACAUGUAAUAAGUGGCUGAAACCAACUGUUGAGAAAUGGAUUUUUGACGUGCCCCUCAGCUCUGACAAGCUGUUAUCCCCACUAAGGUGGACUUACCAGGACUGCUCCAGCUGCACAAAGUAUUUGUCAGAUUUUGGUGAGAAAAUCAGGUUUUGAUGGUACUUUGUCACAUUUCAUACAGCCACUUGGGCAGCUGAAAUCUGUUCUGUCAUGCUGCAUCAGCUGCAAUAAAGCUUCAUUCACUGGGCUUCAGCGUGCUUCUCACAUGGUGUAAAAGGGGGCAUCAAGAAAGCAGGACUGCGCCGUUGGCACUUCAAGCUGAGUUUGCCCCAAUGUGUUUCCAUAGUUGAUGCGCUGACAAGGAGUAACCCAGUCUUCCAGAAGCUUGUGUUGUUGCAUACCUGGAAAAACAUUUCUUGGGGACUGAAAUGUGUGUGAUUUAGUCUGACUGAACAAUAACAUCAAGUCCAAGGGGCCAUCAUGUACCCAGGA